CUUCCGAUGAGAAUACUCCACUUGUUGAUGAUCCAGAGUACAUCUUUGCAUUAGGUGAAACAAUAUUCAAGGGACUGCAAAGCGGAGAUAAGGAUGGGGUCUGGCUAAUGCAGAGAGAUUUGAUCAAACAGCAAAGCUACUUAGUUUUGGGGGUGAAUUCAUGGGAGGCUUGACAAAGAACAAGGGGUUAUCUGCUUUGCUUAUCGGCAUUGCUUUUCAGAAUUUAUUUUGGUUGUUUUCAGGAACUGGAUUGGCUGCUGUUCAUCAAUAUUUAUUCAAGUAUGUGCUUUUUACUUUGUUUGCUGCUUUGCACUAUCUCAAUCACUUAUUCAAGUAUGUGCUUUUU